GGGGUUGUGACUCAGUGGUAGAGUGCUUGCUUAGCACGUGUGAGGCACUGGGUUCAAUCCUCAACACCA
rnacentral:tRNA from 1 species